UGGGAGGUUUAUAGAAGAUUCUCUGUUGACUCUAGAGAAGACAUUCUCCCUUUGCUGUAUUGAAGUUGCUCGUACGUUCAUUGAUCUGUGAUGUGUCGUAAGAUGGAUCUCAGGAGUUUGGGCCGUGAAGGCUCCAUUACGAUUGUCUCUGCUGAAGGAUUCGGGUAAGUCCACAAGAUUGUGUCCGUAAUGCAGCGCUGUGGAUCGUGUGCCAGUUUGCAAAAUUAUUGGAAAUGUCCAACUUUCCUUUGAGAACAGGCUUUCUGAAAUGGCAUAUUUAAUGCAAUGUAAGCACUUACUUGAGUCGAUCAAGAAUUAGUUUGCUGGUCUAGACCCUCACAAGAGGUUUCUCGGCUGAGCCGAUGUGAUAAAUGGAACUUGGCUUUGAUGAUUGCUCUAUCAAUAAACUUUACUUAUUCGAUGGUUA